rnacentral:rRNA from 1 species
CUCACCAGGUCAGGACACGGUAAGGAUUGACGGACUGAAGGCUCUUUCUCGAUUCCGUGGAAAGUGGUGCAUGGCCGUUUUUGGUUGGUGGAUCGAUCCGUCUGGUUAAUUCCGUUAACGAACGAGACCUCGGCACUCCGAAUAGCGCGGCGGACGUCGCGGCCUCCGGGCCGUCUUCCGCACGAGCUUCUUAGAGGGACCGUCCCCCGCCGGGGAAGGAGGUGCGAGGCAACGACAGGUCUGUGAUGCCCUUAGAUGUUCUGGGCCGCACGCGCAUUACACUGACGCGUCCAACGGGUGACUCCCGACCCGAAGGGGCCGGGGAAUCCGCAAGGCGCGUCGUGAUGGGGAUUGAACGUUGCAAUUGUUGUUCACGAACGAGGAAUUCCUAGUAGGCGCGGGUCAUCAACCCGCGCCGAUUACGUCCCUGC